CGGGGCGUAGCGCAGUUUGGCUAGCGCGUCAGACUGGGGGUCUGAAGGUCGCAGGUUCGAAUCCUGUCGCCCCGA
rnacentral:tRNA from 2 species